ensembl:rRNA 5S_rRNA 5S ribosomal RNA
GCUUACGGCCACACCGCCUGGUUCCACGCCCCGAUCUCGUUUGAUCUCGGAAGCUAAGGUAGGUUGGGCCUGGUUAGUACUUGGAUGGGAGACCGCCUGGGAAUACCAGGUGCUGUAAGCU